AGUUAAUGCAUUCUUUUCUGCUCGUCCUGGUUGUUGCAAGGAGACAUCAGGCAUUGUAAUGGAUGGAUGACGAUGUGUCGCUGGCAAACCUACACUGUGUGCAUUUUCUUGGUGGAUAUCUUGGGCAAAUGUGCAAUAUGACGAGGGAUAUCUUGGGCAAAUAUCUUAUAUAAAUUGGUACGAUUGCUUACCUUAAAUUACUAAAGAAGGAUGAUGUUGUAAGGUUAGUGGAUAUUUAUAAUAGUGAUAAAAUGGGGGUUCCCUAUGCAUAGGAACAAAGUAAGGCUGCCUAAUUAAGUGGAAACAAUAUUGCGCAGUGUAACAAUCUAAAAAUAUGGCGGACUGAAAUCUGUAAAAAUGAUGCAUGUUUAAUUUAAAACAUGCAAAAAUUGCGGCAUAAAUAUAUCACGAAACAUGCUUUUUACAACUACAUGCUAUGUUUAUAGGAAUUUGAAUAAGUUUUUAGUAGGCAUGAUUUAGGAUUUUUGUUUUAUUUUCAUUUAUCAUUUUCUAUAAAUGCCCCAACUAGUUUAUAUCUAAUAUGUAAUGUAUAAUAUGUAGAUUGUAAAUUUUUUGAUCUAGAAAAUAAUAGAGUUCUGAUACAACUACAUGCUGUGUUGGGUUGUUAGGGUUGAAUAAGUUUUUAGUAGGCAUGAUUUAGGAUUGUUUUUAUUUAUGAUUUUCUAUAGACUGUCCCCCCCCUCCCCCCCCCGUGGUGGAAGGAUAACAGCCUGUGGCCAUUUGUCACUAAUGCUGCACAGUGACGUAGUCGUAUAAAUAGAUAUUUAACAGUCUGUGACCAUUUGUCACUAAUGCUGCACAGUGAUGUAGUCGUAUAAAUAGAUAUAAUAUUGUGCACUUCAGUGGCUUUCUAAUUUUAUUAUCCAAUCAGGUGUGUUAGAACUUAUUGUAUGUAAACAAGGUCAAUAGACAACGUUUGGGACAACAUUGCUUUCUUUAACAUAUAGCAUAAUUUGUCUUCAUCAUUCUGUGCACAAUGAAGUAUUGGGUCAUUCCAGAAAACAUCCAUACCCCCCCCCCCCACGGAGGAAAUAGGAAGUUAACCCCCUACCCCCUUCGGAUGCCCUAAUACAUUUACUAUUAUCAGAAACAAUUUUUUGUCCCCUCCCCCUCCGGAUGGCAGAAAUUUCCUCUGUGGGGGGAGUAUGGAUCUAUUCUGGAACGACCCAUUCAAGGCAAAGAAAAUAUGCAAGCAUUAAAUAUUUCCUGCAUUAUUUCUCAAUCCUUGCUCAAUGACAAAAACAUACUUAAAUUAAAUUUGUAAUAUAGGAAAAAUAGAUUUUCUGUAAUAUAUAUUUAUCUGAAACAACCUCAUGCUAUGUACACUUUUGUAAGUUGUCUGUUUGUUUCAAAACUUACAAAAGUGUACAUUAAAACAAGUAAGACUGAAGAAUCAUCUAAAAUUCUUUAAAAAAAAACCCCAAAAAACACCUCAUGCUAUGUUGAUAGGAAUUUGAAGUUUUUAGUAGGCAUGAUUUAGGAUUUUUGUUUCUAUUCAUGAUUUUCUAUAAAUGGGUGCCCACCUAAUUUUUGAGAUAUGAUAUGAAUUUAUGAUAUCUUUAUCACAUAAAAGAGUGGCAGUGUCAUCACAACAGUAUAAAAAACCAAUUACUGUGGGCUCAAUUUUACAAAUACUGUAUAAAUAUACAAUAACAUAACUUAAUUUAUGAGAAUAAAUACAACUAUCAGGAACAACAAGAGAGUGGAGUAGCAAGACUACAAGCAGUGUUACAUUUCAAACAGAUUCUUAGUUUAUAUUGAUAGCAGUAAUGUACCAUCUGUAUAACAUACAGUUGUAAAAUUUGUAACGUCUCUCUGUAGCAGGGGGGGGCACAGUCUUUCUUUAGGUUGUAAAGCGAUGAUUGGGCUAAGAAUAUUUCAAUACGUCAUUGCUGUUGAAAUGACUUAAUUCAUCACUAAUAAUAUUGCUCAUAAUAUACCAUCCAGCAUCUAUUUUUGAGAAAAUUGUUGCACAAACCAUGUUCCAAUGUUUGCGAUGUGACCAUUGCAUAUGGCUGUCAAAAACGUCCAGAUUAGUUAGAUUAUUGUUUUCUAAAACAUUGCGCGGCUCGUGAUUUUAGAACUCGUUUUAUGCUUUAACCCAUUGAGUGGCUCCACUUGACAAGUAAAAUCCUGUGGCGUUAGACAGUAAAAUACUAAAGUUGGGUGCAUCUGGGUGCAAUGCAACUUAAAGGGUUAAAUUAACCAAAAAAAGUUCAUACAUUUGUUUGAAAAAAAAAGAUUUUAACACAGUACCAUGCCUGUUUGUAUUUUGAAGUUCCUUGAGUUAAACAUGAUACUGCAUAAAACCCUAAGUAGGGAACCACCUCCAGACCAAUUUACACUCACCUGCGACAAAAUAGGGAGGUUGUGUGCUUGAUUUGCACAGUGCAACUCAAGUUGUAAGCAUCUUGCAUGGGACCAUCUGAUGCACAAGACUUUCCUCUUGAUGAGUAAAAUGAUCUGAUAUCAGACAUUUGAGUUCCUUUGCAGCUUAAGGAGUUAAUCCUAUUUAUCUUAGAGAACAGCAAUUCAACUAUCUGGCUGGCUUGACAAAUAACUAUACACCAACAAUGUGUGCAAAGGCAAUUAAGUGUAUCCUUGGAAAAUUUUAUCUGAGAUUAUGCAGAGUUGUUUACAACUUUUUUGUUCAAGCCUAGUGACUUAUUUCAGUGCAUGAAAAUCAUCCCACCUUUCAUCCUGUCCUGACAAACUGGGAUCAUGUAAACAGCACAUUUAGCCAUUAAGUUGAUUUGCACUCUAAUUUUCCUACUUAUAUUAUUUAACUCUGUCUAACGUCAUACAAUUUUAUUAAGCAGGGGGUGCACUGGCAGUUAAUUAAUGGGUAACUAGACACAUGGGCAGUCUCAUUAUGAAGCAUAAAAUCGUCUAGCGUUGGACAGUAAAAUACUCAAGUAGAGCAUGCAUCAGGGCACAGUACAACCUAAUGGUUAAAUUUGUUUUUUGUAGCAAAAUGGUUUAAGUUUUAUAUCUGAAUUUUUAAAAAAUUUUUUUGCUUUGUUUUACAGAUCAUUACUUGAACGUGCUGAUGAAAUAUUGAUUUAUAAAAUAUCAUGUUACCAAGAUGACAUGCCUCGAAGAGCAAUACAUGAGGGAAUACCUCUAUUUCUAAUCAAAUUACAACAAUACACCAAAGACAGUAGUUCUCGGAUGAAAUGAAAGGAUUGAUAAAUGUUCAUGGCCAGCAGUGGAUAUUUGUGACUAUAAUAAAUGGAUACAAAGAAACUAUGAUGGAUAAAUAUGGCCCCGUAAUGGAUAUUCAGUUGAUGGACAUACAAAGGUCACAGAAAUGUCUAUUUUCAGGUACUGUUCUUUCUUGUUUGCCUGCGAACAGGCUGUAGAUACUUGUAUCCAGGCCAUUGUUUGUUUUUUGUUUGUUCUGGGUACAAUGAAAUCCGGCAUAAAUCCUGGCGGUCUAAAUGUUCAGUAUAUUUACAAAUUCGAUCUAUUGUCUUUUCAGUAGACUUUGAUAGCUUGAAAGAAAGUUUAUAACGAUGAUUUUCUCUGCAAAAACUGUACUUUCGAAAUUCGUCAGCUUCUGAAUUUGAUAACCGAUCUGGAAAAAAAGGAACAUUUGAGUGUAUGGUUAUUGCAUGGUUCUAUAUAUAUUCUAUAUAUACUGCCUUUGUGCACACGCAUAACAAGUGCAGCAAUGCAACAGUUUAGACAGGGUCAUGAGGCAGGAUGUGUACAAGAAAAGCUUUGCCAGAGUUUUGUCUUUCGAAAUAGAACGACGAUUGGAAAUUGUUGUUUGAUUCUUUGUAAUAUCUUGUCGCUUUGUUAGUGAAAAAGAAAUUUGUCACUUUCCUCAUCUAAGGCCCUGUUUACAUGAGACCGGAACGAAGUCAAACCGGGACCAUUUCGUUUCGGUCACAGUAUUAUUUAUAAUAGAUGUUUACAUGAGAGCGGGACGAAAAUAACUCAGACCGGUCUCAAGUCAUUCCGCCUGCUGAACCGAACCGACUGACUUCAGACCGGCAUGAAUUCAGACGGGGAUGAAUGUAAACAGAAAUACAUUUCAGACCGGUCUCGGCUGUAACCUUGACAUUGGAACAACACAUGCUAACAAAAGCCAUCUGAAAAAGAAAAUUGCCCUGGCAAGGG
rnacentral:lncRNA from 1 species